UCGCGGUAAGACAGAGGAGGCAAGCGUUGUUCGGAAUCACUGGGCUUAAAGCGCGUGUAGGCGGCUUGGAAAGUGUCGUGUGAAAUCCCAUGGCUCAACCAUGGAACUGCACGGCAAACUACCUGGCUUGAGGUCGGUAGAGGUGCCUGGAACUCUAGGUGGAGCGGUGAAAUGCGUAGAUAUCUAGAGGAACGCCAGAAGCGAAAGCGGGGCACUGGGCCGAUUCUGACGCUGAGACGCGAAAGCGUGGGGAGCAAACAG
rnacentral:rRNA from 1 species